GACGAACGCUGGCGGCGUGCUUAACACAUGCAGGUCGAACGGAAAGGCCCUGCUUUUGUGGGGUGCUCGAGUGGCGAACGGGUGAGUAACACGUGAGUAACCUGCCCUUGACUUUGGGAUAACUUCAGGAAACUGGGGCUAAUACCGGAUAGGAGCUCCUGCUGCAUGGUGGGGGUUGGAAAGUUUCGGCGGUUGGGGAUGGACUCGCGGCUUAUCAGCUUGUUGGUGGGGUAGUGGCUUACCAAGGCUUUGACGGGUAGCCGGCCUGAGAGGGUGACCGGCGACAUGGGGACUGAGAUACGGCCCAGACGCCUACGGGAGGCAGCAGUGGGGAAUAUUGCACAAUGGGCGGAAGCCUGAGGCAGCAACGCCGCGUGCGGGAUGACGGCCUUCGGGUUGUAAACCGCUUUCGCCUGUGACGAAGCGUGAGUGACGGUAAUGGGUAAAGAAGCACCGGCUAACUACGUG
rnacentral:rRNA from 1 species